CUGAAAAUACUUCACUUCUUUAAAAUUUUAAUGUGAAAGCGUUGUUUCACCAGAUAAUGUUGGCUUAUGUGCAACAAACCAUUUUAUAGAAGAUGAUAUAAGGAUUAAUGGUGCUAUUUCUUUUCCCUGGACCAGUGGAAGGCAUUAUGCCUAUUUUCUUAACCUAACUGGCUAAUGCAGAAGCUUAACUGUAACGAUGCCUGGCUGGCAGAUGCUUUUCUAUCAGUGUGCUUUGGUUUGUAUCUUCUUUUCAGGAGUAGUGAGGGAAUUCUUGCACACUAGGCAGGGUAAAUUGGGAACUUCUUGCUCAAAUUCUUGACAUAGGAAAAGAUCUGUUUUUUAGGUAAAUUUUGUUCAUCACAGUUGUUAACAUUUUCUGCUGAUAAGCUUUGUGCUGUUUGCCAGGCUUAGACAAAUAGUAAACAUUUCUCAUGUCUGUCAUAUGAGCAUUUAUAAAGGCAUCCCACACUACCAAAUAGAUGCCUCAGUCACGUGGAACCUUCCCAAUUAAUGAUUAGUCACAGACAAAACUAGCAGCAGGAGCUCGGAGUCCUUCAGAGUCCUUUCUACUGUUUGUUUGGCUGUUUAUUGAAGAUUUCUAUGAAAAUAAUAAAAGGUUGAAUAGAGAUUUUAUUCCAAGCUGAAUAGCAAUUGCCUAUCUGUAUUACCUAGUGUACACAAGCACUCUCUUCUUUGUAAUAUGUGGGGUUUUAAAAGCUUGACAGUGUUUUUUCACAUUAAGCAAAGGAGUGAAAACUAUGUCACUCAGCCCAGCCAGCUUGCUUCUAGUUAUCCCGAUUUUCAAGAUGAACAAAGCAAAACAAAUCCAAAUACAGUCUGUGUGAGGUUCAGAUGAUUACAUAAGCCAUCCAUGUUCAUACCCUAUGGCGUAGGAAAGCUGGAAUAAUUAUAGUAAUACUUGUAAUUUUCCACUUGGUUCCUACGUGAUCCAGUGAUGGAAAAGGGGUGAAUUGUGUUCAUACACAGCAAAUUAAUUGAAAACAAUCAGAAGGUGGCAGAAUUUCUGAGAUUUAUGAAUUGGUUUUGGAUUUUCUUGUUGGUUUUUUUUCUUCCUUGUGUUCCUUUCCACCCUUCUUCUUUAGCUUGUUAUUUUGUUUAAAGGAAACAAUCAUCCAUGGUUGUGUUACUGGUAAAGAAGUGACCUCAUCCAAGCUUCCUGCUCUGCCUGCAUCCCCUCUUCCACCUGCCAUAAAGCACGUUGUAGCAUUACAGAUGGAAGAUAAUGUUCUGCACCAGUUCUGCUGUCCGCCUUCGGGGUCUAGUAGUCCAUCUUCAAGAUAACAGAGAAGCUCGGGGUCGCUAAGUGUGCAGUCAGUGCUACAUCUGUGUAGUCCAUCUCUCCUCUCUUACUGGUGUGUAUGGGACUGAAACUUGCAUGGAUGCCAUAGGAUUCUUGUUCAUAACAAGUUUGAGUUAUUCAGAAUGUCACAGCCAUAAAUUUUUGCCAUCUUGGUAAUCUCUUCUCCAUGCUCUUCUACAGCUCUCCUCCAUGUGUCCAGUAUUUAAAACAAUUGAAAACUGUAAACAAACACAUAAAAUGCACAAUUUAUUUUGAAGUAAAAUAAACAGUAUCGUAAGUCUUUAA